ensembl:ncRNA B0393.16 ncRNA
GGGUUAUUAAACCAGACAUGAAAAAUGCCGUGACAGCUGCAGAAGGUUGCAAAAAAGGAUUAAACUUCAUUUCUACGUUCCGCACAAUCUGAAUAUGGUUUCCCUCCCAGACCAAACAUACUGAUAACGAACUCUGCAACAAAUUA